rnacentral:rRNA from 1 species
UACGUAGGGGGCUAGCGUUGUCCGGAUUUAUUGGGCGUAAAGAGCGUGUAGGCGGCCAGGUAGGUCUGCUGUGAAAACUCGAGGCUCAACCUCGAGAUGUCGGCGGAAACCAUCUGGCUAGAGUCCGGAAGAGGAAAGUGGAAUUCCUGGUGUGAGCGGUGAAAUGCGCAGAUAUCAGGAAGAACACCCGUGGCGAAGGCGGCUUUCUGGGACGGUACUGACGCUGAGACGCGAAAGCGUGGGGAGCGAACAGG